rnacentral:misc_RNA from 1 species
AACGCACGAGACCUGCGGACCUGCGGAAGGAUCAUUACCGAGUUUACAACUCCCAAACCCAAUGUGAACGUUACCAAACUGUUGCCUCGGCGGGAUCUCUGCCCCGGGUGCGUCGCAGCCCCGGACCAAGGCGCCCGCCGGAGGACCAACCUAAAACUCUUUUGUAUACCCCCUCGCGGGUUUUUUAUAUCUGAGCCAUCUCGGCGCCUCUCGUAGGCGUUUCGAAAAUGAAUCAAAACU